GCCAGAGUGAUGUAGUGGUUUUAUCGUUGGACUACAAAUCUGGAGACCAGGGUUCGAAUCCCGGCUCAGCCA